GAUGAACGCUGGCGGCGUGCCUAAUACAUGCAAGUCGAGCGAACAGAUGAGGAGCUUGCUCCUCUGACGUUAGCGGCGGACGGGUGAGUAACACGUGGAUAACCUACCUAUAAGACUGGGAUAACUUCGGGAAACCGGAGCUAAUACCGGAUAAUAUAUUGAACCGCAUGGUUCAAUAGUGAAAGACGGUUUUGCUGUCACUUAUAGAUGGAUCCGCGCCGCAUUAGCUAGUUGGUAAGGUAACGGCUUACCAAGGCAACGAUGCGUAGCCGACCUGAGAGGGUGAUCGGCCACACUGGAACUGAGACACGGUCCAGACUCCUACGGGAGGCAGCAGUAGGGAAUCUUCCGCAAAGGGCGAAAGCCUGACGGAGCAACGCCGCGUGAGUGAUGAAGGUCUUCGGAUCGUAAAACUCUGUUAUUAGGGAAGAACAAAUGUGUAAGUAACUAUGCACGUCUUGACGGUACUUAAUCAGAAAGCCACGGCUAACUACGUG
rnacentral:rRNA from 1 species